rnacentral:rRNA from 1 species
GACGAACGCUGGCGGCGUGCCUAAUACAUGCAAGUCGAACGCUGAAGGAGGAGCUUGCUUCUCCGGAUGAGUUGCGCACGGGUGAGUAACGCGUAGGUAACCUGCCUGGUAGCGGGGGAUAACUCUUGGAAACGAUAGAUAAUACCGCAUAAGAGUAGAUGUUGCAUGACAUUUGCUUAAAAGGUGCAAUUGCACCACUACCAGAUGGACCUGCGUUGUAUUAGCUAGUUGGUGGGGUAACGGCUUACCACGGCGACGAUACAUAGCCGGCCUGCGAGGGGGGUCCGCCACACUGGGACUGAGACACGGCCCAGACUCCUACGGGGGGCAACAGGAGGGGAUCUUCGGCAAUGGACGGAAGUCUGACCGAGCAACGCCGCGUGGGGGAAGAAGGGUUUCGGGUCGUAAAGCUCUGUUGUAAGGGAAGAAAGAGUGUGAGAGGGGAAAGUGCACACUGUGACGGUACCUUACCAGAAAGGGACGGCUAACUACGUG